rnacentral:rRNA from 1 species
AUUGAACGCUGGCGGCAUGGCUAAUGCAUGCAAGUCGAACGAAAGCCCUUCGGGGCGAAAGUGGCGAAAGGGCGAGUAAUACGAUCGAACGUACCCCAAGGUGGAGGAUAGUGUCGGGAAACUGACGGUAAUACUCCAUGUGCUCUUCGGAGGAAAGCUUUGGCGCCUCGGGAGCGGCGAUCGUCCUAUCAGGUAGUUGGUGAGGUAAUGGCUCACCAAGCCGAAGACGGGUAGCGGGUGUGAGAGCAUGACCCGCCGCAUCGGGACUGAGACACUGCCCGGACUCCUACGGGAGGCUGCAGCGACGAAUCUUCCGCAAUGGGCGCAAGCCUGACGGAGCAAUGCCGCGUGUGGGACGAAGCGUCUUCGACGUGUAAACCACUGUCAGAAUCUAGGAACACUGAUCAGAUUCAAAGGAAGGGCCGGCUAACCUCGUG